AACUAUCUCAUUGUACGCAUUCAACUACUCAAACAACUGAAAUGAAACCUUAGGGUUCCUCUCUUCUUCAUCUCCCAAAAAACCAAAAUCUUAGGGUUUAGAAAAAUUGAACCAUUUCCACCAUUUCUUAAGCUUCAAAGCUUAGCAUUUCCACAACCCUUUUUCGAGAAAAGUGCUUAGAGACACUCACAUGGCAAAAACAAGGCCAGGAAAGAAAGACAUAGAUUCAUACAUCAUCAAAGGAACAAACAAGAUUGUUAAAGCUGGUGAUUGUAUUUUGAUGCGUCCUUCUGACACGAGUAAGCCACCAUAUGUGGCACGUGUGGAGAAGAUCGAGCAAGAUAAUAGGAAAAUUGUGAGGGUUCGUGAAAGAAGUUCUCGGCUACCUUAAGAAACUGCUGGUUCCAAUUUAUAUUUAUCGUAAUAAUGUCACAUUUUCUUUAAUUCGUAAAGGUCUCAUUUUUUAUUUAAUCCAGUUCCAGACAGAAAGGUGCUUUGGUUUGAUGGUUGUAUAUAGAUAAAUUUGUAGUAGUUUUUUUUUUUAUAAAUAAUUUUGACCACCAACAAUUAAAAUUUUCAAACAUUAGCAGAGUAGCAAGUAAAGUAUUUGAUUCUAGCAGAAUGCCUGUUUUUGUGUAUUUAAUUAAUUUUUCCUUAUAAAAAUGAGAACUUGACAUCUGGACAGUUGAUUGGAAUAUUCACCAUGGUAACGGAGCCCCAAAAAUAUUAUAUAACGAUGGAAGAGUAAUUUUCUUUUCUAUUUACAAGUCUGCAUCUAAGUUCAAGAAAGAGAUGCGAACCUGUGGAUGGAAAAGAAUAGUACUUUGCUAUAAUUAUAAAAGAUUUUUUGGGUUCUGUUACCGUGGUGGACGUCCCAGUCUACGAUUAGAUCGUCUUAAUUCCAGGUUCUUACCGUUAUAAGAGAAAAAUAAUUAAAUGCUAUGCAUACCAAACUCUGCUGUAUUUUAUCACUAACUCUUGCUAAAAGCAUGGCUGCCGCCACUACUACAUUGUUAAAAAAGCAAAACCUUAUCGCUUUAUUGGCAUGAUGGCCGGAUGACCUUAUCACCGCUGUUUUUAAAAUUUAAUUGUCGGUGGUUUGAAUUAUUAAAAAAAAUAAAAUCUACCAAUUUAUUAAUUUUUUUAUAUAUACAACCAUUAAACUAGUUCACUAGCAGCUUUCUGUCUGGAACUGGAAUAAAUAAACCGAUUACAAUACUUAUAACAUGUUACAAAUAUUACUCAUGCAUAAAUCUAUUAAACUAUUUGCCCGCAUCCAUUACUGUUUUUAUAUGGUUAUAUCAACGGAUACAAUUUCUUUUGUCACCCUAUGUAAUAAUUCUGGAAAAUAUUUAUUUAAUGUAUAUGCAAAGUUCUGUAAAAUGUAACUUAAAAUCAAUUGACACAUUUACACAUUAUUUUAACUAAUAGAAAAAAAAUAUAAACUUACCAAAAUAUUUCUUUAAUUUACACAAUUGUAGUAUCAUGAUCACAUAACUUGAUGAAUCAUGUUUUUCAAUUUCAAAUUAGCUGUUCCACCUACUAUAGCAAACACAAAAAUGUAUAUAGCAGAAGUCAUGUUCUCAAAUAGUGAUUUUUUUUCCUAGGUAAAUACUAAACUUAGUAGGAAACUAUGCAUAAAGGACUAAUUGAUAUUUAUUUAUUUAUAUAUAAAACAUGUAUAAACCAAUCAAUUUUCCUUCUUCGGUAGGCAAAAGAGCACAAGCCAAUAAAUCCACAUAAAUAUAGCCAUGAGUGGCUGCUAUGUUGCUGUUAUGAAUAUAAUAAUGUAACGUGGCUGUUCUGUUAUGAAUAUGAAUGUAAUGUGGUUGUUACUCUUCCCAUAAUAUUGAUUCUAUGGAAACUGUUUGUUGUUGAUUUUCUCGGCAAUUAUAGCCUAAUUAAGCAGCUUGUUAUUGUCUCUAUGGAAACUGCCGUCUCCUCAAAUAUGCAUAUCAUUGAGAUGAAAAUGAUCUAAGUGGAAGUGACGUGGCAUAUAGAGUGGUGUAAUUAGAUGUAAGCGGUUGACGUGUCUAAAUGAAAAAAUUUCAUUGGUUUAAGUGAAUUAGGGUUUAAAGAAGUAAUAGAAUUACUAUUUAGGAAUUAUAGAUAGAUAGAUAUAGAUGAAAUAUACAGGAGAAAUGUAUUGUUAAAUAUAUUAAAAAAUUACGGGAUAAAUAUUUGUCAUUGAUACUUAAAACGUCACGGGACAAGUGUUGAUCAAAAUAAAAUGUGUUGUUUAGUAAAAAAAAAAAGUGUUGGUGGUUUCCGAUACCAAUUGAGUAGAAAUCGUGACGUUUUAACAGUGGUAUAGACGCUUCCUUGAACGAUCAUAAGAGAAUGUCAUCAUGUCUUUUUGUUUGGUCGAAUAAUGCUAGAUCUCUUUCUCGCGCAGGUAAAGAAGUUGUGAUAAAAUAUGUUGCUCAAGCCAUCCCUUCUUAUUGUAUGGGUGCUUUUCUCCUUCCUAAGACCUUAAGUGAGGCAAUAGAAAGGAUGAUGACUUUCUUCUAUUGGGGUUAAAAAAAAAGACGGUUGCCGAGGUAUCAAUUGGAUGUGUUGGGAAGAGCUUACCCUUCCCAAAGGCUUUGGUGGACUUGGUUUUGGCAACAUGGAAGCCUUUAAUUUCUCUAUGCUUUGGUAAGCAAGGAUGGAAACUCCUCAUUGAUCCUAACCCCUUACUCUCACGUAGUCUCAAAGCUAAAUAUUUUCCCCAACGGGAUUUCUUGGAAGCAGACAUUGGUCACAAUCCAAGCAACACUUGGAGGAGCAUAUGGAGUUCUCAAUCUCUUCUUUCCUUGGGACAUAGAUGGAAGAUUGCUGACGGUACAAAAAUUAAUGUAUGGAAGAUGCCUUGGAUAUGAUCACUCCCAUCCUUAAAACCUUCAACCACACCGCCUACUCAUCUUGCAGACCUCACAGUGAGUCAUCUCAAGAUUUCAGACUUGAUGUCAUGGAAAGCUGAAGUGAUAGAUACUAUCUUUUCGCCAACAGAUGCAGCUGCCAUCCUUGGUAUACACCUUACUGAUCAAAAUUUGGAAGACAAAUGUGCAUGGAAGGCAUCUCAUGAUGGUAUAUAUACUGUUAAAUCUGCAUACAGGGUGUGCAUGAUCAUUACUAUGGCAUCGUCAACGCUCACAACAGUGAGAAGUGGAGGAUUAUUUGGAAUAUGGACGUCCCUCCUCGUGUGAAGUCGUUUCUAUGGCGCACCGCACACCAUUGUCUCCCAAUACGCGACCAUCUUGCAACUAGAGGCAUUCACGGUUGGCUAAUAAUCAACAAGCAAUAGUGGCUAUGACUCUUUGGCAUUUGUGGAAAUGUCGCAAUACAAAGAUCUGGGAAGGUUCAGAUACCGCACCCCAUAUGAUGAUAGCUCGAGCAAAGGAUACUCAUCACGAGUGGAGUUAUUAUUGUCAUGCUGAAG